GAUGAACGCUGGCGGCGUGCCUAACACAUGCAAGUCGAACGACCCCUUCGGGGGUAGUGGCAGACGAGUGAGUAACGCGUGGGAAUCUACCCCAGACACAGGAAUACCUGGCCGAAAGGUUAGUUAAUACCUGAUAUUCUCGCAAGAGAAAAGCUCCGGCGGUUUGGGAUGAGCCUGCGUCCUAUCAGCUUGUUGGUGAGGUAAUGGCUCACCAAGGCUAUGACGGGUAGCUGGACCGAGAGGUUGACCAGCCACGAUGGGACUGAGACACGGCCCAUACACCUACGGGUGGCAGCAGUGAGGAAUCGUGCGCAAUGGACGAAAGUCUGACGCCGCGACGCCGCGUGAAGGAAGACGGCCCUACGGGUUGUAAACUUCUUUUGUAAGGGAAUAAAGUGCAGUACGCGUACUGUUUUGCAUGUACCUUACGAAUAAGGAUCGGCUAACUCCGUG
rnacentral:rRNA from 1 species